rnacentral:tRNA from 1 species
GGUGCAGUGGCAUAGUGGGUAAAGCUACCACCUGUAGUGCUGGCAUCCCAUAUGGGCCCUGGUUCGAGUCCCGGCUGCUCCA